GACGAACGCUGGCGGCGUGCUUAACACAUGCCAGUCGAACGCGCCUGUCCUCUGGGUUUCUGGGGGGUGGGUGAGUGGCGAACGGGUGAGUAACACGUGAGUAACCUGCCCCCUUCUUCGGGAUAACGGUCUGAAAGGGCUGCUAAUACCGGGUAUUCACUGGUCUCCGCAUGGGGUCUGGUGGAAAGGUUUUUUUCUGGUGGGGGAUGGGCUCGCGGCCUAUCAGCUUGUUGGUGGGGUGAUGGCCCACCAAGGCUUUGACGGGUAGGCGGCCUGAGAGGGUGACCGGUCACAUUGGGACUGAGAUACGGCCCAGACUCCUACGGGAGGCAGCAGUGGGGAAUAUUGCACAAUGGGCGCAAGCCUGAUGCGGCGACGCCGCGUGAGGGAUGGAGGCCUUCGGGUUGUGAACCUCUUUCGCCCGUGGUCAAGCCGCGACGUGGGUCGUGGUGAGGGUAGUGGGUAAAGAAGCGCCGGCUAACUACGUG
rnacentral:rRNA from 1 species